rnacentral:misc_RNA from 1 species
UUUCCGUAAGUGAACCUGCGGAAGGAUCAUUAAUGAGUUGUCAUGGGGUUCGAUGCUGGCAGCCAGUUUUUGGAUGCAUGUGCUUGCCCUAACAAUCAUCUUCUUCCAAACACCUGUGCACAUUUUUGAGGGAGUCUUGAGUUGGUUGCCGCUCUUGGGUGAUUUUCUCACAUUCCCUUAAAUCAUUAUACGCUAUUAACAAUGUUGAACGUGCUCUGUGCCGCAAGGCCAUUAAUAUAAUACAACUUUUAACAACGGAUCUCUUGGCUCUC